rnacentral:rRNA from 1 species
GAUGAACGCUGGCGGCGUGCCUAAUACAUGCAAGUCGAGCGAACGGACGAGAAGCUUGCUUCUCUGAUGUUAGCGGCGGACGGGUGAGUAACACGUGAAUAACCUACCUAUACGACUGGGAUAACUUCGGGAAACCGUAGCUAAUACCGGAUAAUAUUUUGAACCGCAUGGUUCAAAAGUGAAAGACGGUCUUGAUGUCACUGAUAGAUGGAUCCGCGCUGCAUUAGCUAGUUGGUAAGGUAACGGCUUACCAAGGCAACGAUGCAUAGCCGACCUGAGAGGGUGAUCGGCGACACUGGGACUGAGACACGGUCCAGACUCCUACGGGAGGCAGCAGUAGGGAAUCUUGCGCAAUGGGCGAAAGCCUGACGGAGCAACGCCGCGUGAGUGAUGAAGGUCUUCGGAUCGUAAAACUCUGUUAUUAGGGAAGAACAUAUGUGUAAGUAACUGUGCACAUCUUGACGGUACCUAAUCAGAAAGCCACGGCUAACUACGUG